GUCGUAGUCCGGAUUGGAGUCUGCAACUCGACUCCAUGAAGUCGGAAUCGCUAGUAAUCGUAGAUCAGAAUGCUACGGUGAAUACGUUCCCGGGCCUUGUACACACCGCCCGUCACACCAUGGGAGUGGGUUGCAAAAGAAGUAGGUAGCUUAACCUUCGGGAGGGCGCUUACCACUUUGUGAUUCAUGACUGGGGGGAAGUCGUAACAAGGUAACCGUAGGGGAACCUGCGGUUGGAUCACCUC
rnacentral:rRNA from 1 species